GCCUGGGUGGCUGAGUCAGUUAAGCGUCUGACUUCCACUCAGAUCAUGACCUCACAGUUUGUGAGUUUGAGCCCUGCAUCGGGCU
rfam:Felis catus isolate Cinnamon breed Abyssinian chromosome B1, whole genome shotgun sequence.